UACGUAGGGGCAAGCGUUGUCCGGAUUAUCGGGCGUAAAGAGCGUGUAGGCGGCCAGGUAGGUCUGCUGUGAAAACUCGAGGCUCAACCUCGAGACGUCGGCGGAAACCAUCUGGCUAGAGUCCGGAAGAGGAGAGUGGAAUUCCUGGUGUAGCGGUGAAUUCGUAGAUAUUCGGAAGAACACCAGUGGCGAAGGCGGCUCCACUGGACCGGCAUUGACGCUGAGGUGCGAAAGCG
rnacentral:rRNA from 1 species